rnacentral:rRNA from 1 species
CUCCGUGCUCAUAGCGGCGUGGACCCACCCGAUCCCAUCCCGAACUCGGAAGUUAAGCACGCCAGCGCCGAUGAUAGUUGGGGGGCGACUCCCUGCAAAAGUAGGACGGUGCGGGGG